rnacentral:tRNA from 1 species
GCAGUGAUGGUUCAGUGGUAGAAUUCUUGUCUUCCAUGUGAGAGACCCAGGUUUGAUUCUCAGCCAAUGCA